rnacentral:rRNA from 1 species
GCAUAUCAAUAAGCGGAGGAAAAGAAACUAACAAGGAUUCCCCUAGUAACGGCGAGUGAAGAGGGAAGAGCCCAAGAUUGAAAGCUGGCGUCUUCGGCGUCCGCAUUGUAAUCUCAAGAAGUGUUUUCCGCUUCGGACCAAGCCUAAGUCCCUUGGAAAAGGGCAUCAUAGAGGGUGAUAAUCCCGUACAUGGCUUGGAGCGCCCGAAGCUUUGUGAUACGCUUUCUAAGAGUCGAGUUGUUUGGGAAUGCAGCUCAAAAUGGGUGGUAAAUGCCAUCUAAGGCUAAAUAUUGGGGAGAGACCGAUAGCGAACAAGUACAGUGAUGGAAAGAUGAAAAGAACUUUGAAAAGAGAGUUAAACAGUACGUGAAAUUGCCAAAAGGGAAGGGUAGGAGGUCAGAGAUGCGGCCUGGGAUUCAGCCUUGCUUUUGCUUGGUGUUUUUCCCAGAUUGCAGGCCAACGUCGGUUUUGGGCACUGGAGAAGGGUAGGAGGAACGUGGCACCUCUCGGGGUGUGUUAUAGCCUCCUACUGGAUACAGCGACCGAGACCGAGGACAGCAGCGUACUCGCAAGAGCGGGCCUUCGGGCACCUUUACGCUUAGGGCGUUGGCAUAAUGGCCCUCUACCACCCGUCUUGAAACACGGACCA